ensembl:rRNA 5S_rRNA 5S ribosomal RNA
GCUUACGGCCACACCGCCUGGUUCACGCCCGACUUGUUUGAUCUCGGAAGCUAAGAUAGGUUGGGCCUGGUUAGUACUUGGAUGGGAGACCGCCUGGGAAUACCAGGUGCUGUGGCCU